rnacentral:tRNA from 1 species
UGUAGCUUAGUUGGUAGAGUGCUUGCCUCGCAUGCAUAAGGCCCUGGGUUCGAUGCCCUGCA